rnacentral:rRNA from 1 species
CAGCCCUUGACAUGGCACGGACGAUUUCCGGAGACGGAUCUCUUCACUUCGGCUGACCUGCACACAGGUGCUGCAUGGCUGUCGUCAGCUCGUGUCGUGAGAUGUUGGGUUAAGUCCCGCAACGAGCGCAACCCUCGCCCUUAGUUGCCAUCAUUUAGUUGGGCGCUCUAGGGGGACUGCCGGUGAUAAGCCGGAGGAAGGUGGGGAUGACGUCAAGUCUUCAUGGCCCUUACGGGCUGGGCUACACACGUGCUACAAUGGCGGUGACAGAGGGUUGCUACACAGCGAUGUGAUGCUAAUCCCUAAAAGCCGUCUCAGUUCGGAUUGCACUCUGCAACUCGGGUGCAUGAAGUCGGAAUUGCUAGUAAUCGCAGAUCAGC